rnacentral:rRNA from 1 species
GAUGAACGCUGGCGGCGUGCCUAAUACAUGCAAGUCGAGCGAACGGACGAGAAGCUUGCUUCUCUGAUGUUAGCGGCGGACGGGUGAGUAACACGUGGAUAACCUACCUAUAAGACUGGGAUAACUUCGGGAAACCGGAGCUAAUACCGGAUAAUAUUUUGAACCGCAUGGUUCAAAAGUGAAAGACGGUCUUGCUGUCACUUAUAGAUGGAUCCGCGCUGCAUUAGCUAGUUGGUAAGGUAACGGCUUACCAAGGCAACGAUGCAUAGCCGACCUGAGAGGGUGAUCGGCCACACUGGAACUGAGACACGGUCCAGACUCCUACGGGAGGCAGCAGUAGGGAAUCUUCCGCAAUGGGCGAAAGCCUGACGGAGCAACGCCGCGUGAGUGAUGAAGGUCUUCGGAUCGUAAAACUCUGUUAUUAGGGAAGAACAUAUGUGUAAGUAACUGUGCACAUCUUGACGGUACCUAAUCAGAAAGCCACGGCUAACUACGUGCCAGCAGCCGCGGUAAUACGUAGGUGGCAAGCGUUAUCCGGAAUUAUUGGGCGUAAAGCGCGCGUAGGCGGUUUUCUAGUCUGAUGUGAAAGCCCACGGCUCAACCGUGGAGGGUCAUUGGAAACUGGAAAACUUGAGUGCAGAAGAGGAAAGUGGAAUUCCAUGUGUAGCGGUGAAAUGCGCAGAGAUAUGGAGGAACACCAGUGGCGAAGGCGACUUUCUGGUCUGUAACUGACGCUGAUGUGCGAAAGCGUGGGGAUCAAACAGGAUUAGAUACCCUGGUAGUCCACGCCGUAAACGAUGAGUGCUAAGUGUUAGGGGGUUUCCGCCCCUUAGUGCUGCAGCUAACGCAUUAAGCACUCCGCCUGGGGAGUACGACCGCAAGGUUGAAACUCAAAGGAAUUGACGGGGACCCGCACAAGCGGUGGAGCAUGUGGUUUAAUUCGAAGCAACGCGAAGAACCUUACCAAAUCUUGACAUCCUUUGACAACUCUAGAGAUAGAGCCUUCCCCUUCGGGGGACAAAGUGACAGGUGGUGCAUGGUUGUCGUCAGCUCGUGUCGUGAGAUGUUGGGUUAAGUCCCGCAACGAGCGCAACCCUUAAGCUUAGUUGCCAUCAUUAAGUUGGGCACUCUAAGUUGACUGCCGGUGACAAACCGGAGGAAGGUGGGGAUGACGUCAAAUCGUCAUGCCCCUUAUGAUUUGGGCUACACACGUGCUACAAUGGACAAUACAAAGGGCAGCGAAACCGCGAGGUCAAGCAAAUCCCAUAAAGUUGUUCUCAGUUCGGAUUGUAGUCUGCAACUCGACUACAUGAAGCUGGAAUCGCUAGUAAUCGUAGAUCAGCAUGCUACGGUGAAUACGUUCCCGGGUCU